rnacentral:ncRNA from 1 species
UUUGGCAAAGCCAUUGAAAAAUGGGGACGCAAAGCUAUAGGGGCUAAAGUAUAUCACAUACCAUGCCAGCCAGUUGC